AAAACUGUCAUCCUUUGGGGUAGGUCUAAGUUGCAGAGAGAAGAAAGCUCUCAAAAGGAGGGCCUGAGACGGCCAAGAUACCCACGCCCUUGGACCACCUACUCCGCACGGAAGAGGGGGGGGCAUAGUCCCCGCUAGUCCUGCCUCAGUCAGGCCCUCCUCCAUAGACCACGCCCCGGAGAGCUCCGCCUCCGGGCCCGCCCCGCGGCGCAUUGUGGGAUCUUUCCGCCCCACCGGAGCGGGACGCACCUCUAGGUCAUGGGGAUCCAGCCGAGCCCGGUCUUGCUAGCCUCUCUGGGGGUGGGGCUGCUUACUCUGCUCGGCCUGGCUCUGGGUACCUACUUGGUUCGAAGAUCCCGCCGGCCGCAGGUUACUCUCCAGGACCCGGAUGAGAAGUACCUGCUGCGAUUGCUAGACAAGACGACAGUGAGCCACAACACCAGGAGGUUCCGCUUUGCCUUGCCCACCGCCCACCACAUUCUGGGGCUGCCUGUGGGUAAGCACGUCUACCUCUCUGCCCGAAUUGAUGGCAGUCUGGUCAUCAGGCCUUACACCCCUGUCACCAGUGAUGAAGACCAAGGCUAUGUAGAUCUUGUCAUCAAGGUUUAUCUGAAAGGUGUGCACCCCAAAUUUCCUGAAGGAGGGAAGAUGUCUCAAUACCUGGAUAGCCUGAAGAUUGGGGAUAUGGUGGAGUUCCGGGGGCCGAGCGGGUUGCUCAGUUAUGCUGGGAAAGAAUCUGCAUGUGUGCAUGGGUGUACCUGGGCAAAGUCUCCUGAAGCAACCAUGCUAUAUGGAAAGGCAGAUUUCACCCUGUGGAGAUUACCAGAGGAAACCUAUGCCUCUCCUUCCUUCACCAAAGACUUCCCUCUGGCCAAGGACCAAAAGAGAAAGCUUUUUAGUUCUUCCCAUGGAGACGACCCGAGUACUGUGCCCUGUCUCUGGUGAUGCUCUGGACCACUAGGGAAAUUCACCCUGGCCCCAAGCCUACCACCUUCACCAGGGGACAAUCUUCUGCCAGAGGUCUUCGUUCCGCACUCCUCCCUUGCCUGCGCUGCCUCUGAAUCUUCCAGGCUGUGUGGGAUCACUGGGCCCUUAAGUGUGGCUUCUGUGCCUGCACUGACUGAGAAGCAGACAGACAUCCCAGCGCCAUUGUCCUUCCUGAGUAAUUGUCCCGGUCUGUUAAACUCAAACCUCCACUCAAGCCCGUGCCAGGAUCAGAUUUCAUAGCAGCUGCUAAACAGCCUAGGGCAUGCUUUCUGUUCUGUUUGUUUACUUAGUUCCUGUUUUAAAUUGACUCUAAUUCUGCACUUGGCUUCCCAGGGAAUUUUAAUAUUCAGCCCAACAAAAAAUCUCCACCUGAACUGCGAGUGGCGAAGAAAUUGGGAAUGAUUGCUGGUGGGACAGGAAUCACCCCAAUGCUGCAGCUGAUCCGGGCCAUCUUGAAAGUCCCUGAAGAUCCAACCCAGUGCUUUCUGCUUUUUGCCAACCAGACUGAAAGGGAUAUAAUCCUGCGGGAGGACCUAGAGGAACUUCAGGCCCAGUAUCCUAAUCGCUUUAAGCUCUGGUUCACUCUGGACUCUCCUCCAGAAGACUGGACCUACAGCAAGGGCUUUGUUACGGCUGACAUGAUCCAGGAGCACCUGCCUGCCCCAGCAGAGGAUGUGCUGCUGCUGCUCUGUGGACCACCACCCAUGGUGCAGCUGGCCUGCCACCCUAACUUGGAUAAGCUGGGCUAUUCACAAAAGAUGCGAUUCACCUACUGAGCUUCGCAAAGCCUCCCUCACCCCAUGUGUGCAGUUGUUUCUAGUCGAUUCUUGAAUACCAAGAGGCCCUAGGGCCUUUGCUGAGAGCAUCAGCCUUCUGUGUCUCAUCCCGGAAUCUGGGUGCUUGCAGAAACAACACUCCCUCAGCUAUGGUGGAUGCAGGUCAAGGCUAAGUCACUCCCUUGAAGCUUCCUUUAUCCUAACUAAUGUCCUUGUGAUAAAAGGUCCAGAUGAGGCUCAAGGAGCAGUCUCUAGAGCCAGAAAGAAGGAAGUGUGUGUACAUUUGUUAUGAGGCUGCCUAGUUUCUGAGAGCAUUAUGGUCACCUCUGUGUCUGUAAUGAAAGCAAUGGACAGGGCAAUGCAUUUCGCUCCGUGUUCAGCACUUCAUCCACUACUUAGAUGAGUACAGGUUGAGUGCGCUUAUAGACACAGUCCUACAGAAACUGUAGGAAGGGAAUUAUUUUCCGGAAUUCUAGACCUCAGAGAAAGGAGGCUGGUGUGUGUGUGUGUGUGUGUGUGUGUGUGUGUGUGUGUGUGUGUGUAUCUCAGGCCCUGCCCAGGAUAGCGUGAAAUGAUUACUCAUAACUUAAGAUUGCUGCCUGUACAAAGUGUGUCUGGCUGUUCAAAUAAAUGGAGCCGAGGCCCUAAUGAUCUCAAGG